UCUGGUGACAAUGACGCAGUGGACACACCUGUUCCCAUCCCGAACACAGAAGUUAAGCACUGCAGUGGCGAAAAUAGUUGGGCUUGACCCUGCAAAGAUAGCACGUUGCCAGGC
rnacentral:rRNA from 1 species